UACGGGAGGCAGCAGUGGGGAAUAUUGGGCAAUGGGGGCAACCCUGACCCAGCAACGCCGCGUGAAGGAAGAAGGUCUUCGGAUUGUAAACUUCUUUGACAAGGGACGAUAAUGACGGUACCUUGAAAACAAGCCACGGCUAACUACGUGCCAGCAGCCGCGGUAAU
rnacentral:rRNA from 1 species